rfam:TPA: Bos taurus chromosome 3, whole genome shotgun sequence.
UCCCUAGUGGCUCAGAUGGUAAAGCGUCUGUCUACAAUGCAGGAGACCCGGGUUCGAUCCCUGGGUCGGGAA